rnacentral:lncRNA from 1 species
CAGAAACCGAGACAAAUCACUGCGCGCCACUGCCGCUUCGGAGCAUCACGUCGUUAUGCCCCAAAAACACAACGGGGGAAGGAAAGGCCACCGUGUGUCCCCCUCCCCUCCCCCCCCCCCCACGCCAUGGGACACAGCCCUGCACCCAACGCAGCCGUGCUGUUUGUUUGGUGACUGUUCUGCUGUGUCUAUUUUUAGCUGGUGACGCCCGGGGUAUUUCGCUUCAGGAUGUCCGGUCUGAGCCUCUUUCUGGGAAUCCCAUGUUCUCUAAUUGUAAACAGCCCCACUCAGUUGCUGCAAGCACCGAGAGGCCCCGACUCAUACAGCGGGGCUGUCAGGUGUGAGUCAAACAGGAAGCUGCUGCCGCUUCCACAAGCAAAGCGUCGGGUGUGAAAAAGUGCUCCAUUCACACAGCCCCACAGCCCAGCCCAGAUCCCACAGCGUGGGGUGCCUCUGGAAGUGGGACCGGCUCCGUCCCUCCUCCAAAAUGCUGUCCCUGGGAGAAAAAGGGCUCCCGAGGGCCUCGCGCGUGGAUGUCGUUGCAGUGGUGCAAAGGGAGAGGGGAUGGGUGAGAUUGGGACGGGAUGGGAAGGGGAUGAGGAUGCUGAAGGAAUGGGAUGGGGAUGCUGAUGAGGAUGGGAUGGGAUGGUGAUGCCAAUGUAGGAGGUGCAGAGGCACAAGAGGGGACAGGAUGGAAAUAGGGAGCAGUUUUAGCCCCAUCUCCCACCCCGUGGGGCUGAGCUGAAGCAGCUGCCAACUUGGCUCAGAAACACUGACAGGGAGCAGUUUGGUCCUCUGCUAACAGCAGCCUGCUGCUGCCCCUGUGCAUUAACCCAGCCUGGGGUGACCCAAACACAUGUUCCCUGGGCCUUAGGAGAUGGGCAUCCAGGUCUGCAUCACCCCAGGGCCCAAGCACUGUGCAAAGGGAUGGGGUGUAAGGGCAUAGGAUGCCCUUACAGGAGAGGACCUGCCACAGUGACCACAACUAUUGCAGCAUGCAGGAUAGGAAGGCACUAAAAUGUGUGCCCUAAUUUCACUGGGGCCACAAAGAGCUGCAGCAGCACCAGCAGCCCUUUGCACCCCACCAUCUGAGCCCUCAGAUUCCUGCAAGCAGCAGCGAUGGCACCACGCUGCUCCCAGGGACCCAGCAGCAAUCCUCACAGCUCCACUGCUCUGAAGGUCCCAAAUGUCAGCAGUGCAACAACAGAGACAGCAAAAUCCUCCCUUGUGCUCCUCUGAAAUUGCAGCAUCACGGAGCUUGGUGACCUCUGCAUUGGAAGCAAUUUUGCACAGGGUAGGAAGGUCAGAGCCAACACCUGCAGCGCUGUUACAGGAGGCUGAUGCUCCUCCAGCCUCCCCAGCACCACAAACCUGGCGCACCUUGCAGCCUUUUGGGUCCCUUUGGGACAUCACACUCCUCAGCCAUCCCCCCGCCCAUCCCUGCCCUCUGCAUGGGCUCAAAACCCAGUGAGGAACUGAGCCAGCUGAGCAGCCCAUGGUGCUUUCACGGCUGAGGAGGGGCAGAGGACAGUGCUUACAGAAGGGUAAGGAUGGGUAGGAUGCUGUAACGUAGCCUGUAGGAACCCAUCCACACCAAACAUCCCCACGGACCUCAGCACUGAGCUCCCCAAAAGGAGCCGUGCGCGGAGCACGGUUGUACCCAUCCCUUAUCUGACUCAUUUCAGCAUCUCAGGGGAAACCCUGGCAUUGAUAAACAGCGCUCUGCUCUCUGCCUCCACAUUCACCAACCGAAAUCUGGAGUCUAUUUUUAACCCUCUGACACCCACAGCCGGGAGGGAGCCGGCAGCUCCCCGCGCUCGUGCCGUUGUUUACCGGGUGGGUGAAGUGACUGCAGCACUGGUGAGGUAUCGAGCAAAGUGAGACCAAAACAAGAGUGCUGAUGUGUCAUGCCACCACUUUCCAUGCUCGGCGCCUGCACUGUGCCCCCGGAUGGGGUAUGCAAAACCAGAAAGCUCCCAUGCUUUAAUUUUCCAGCACAUCCCCAGAUGAGUGUGCUGCUCAGCCUGCUCGUGGUCCACCGCCUGCUGGGGGGGGCUGGGCUGCAUGCAUGGCCAUGGAUGAAUGGGGAAAAGAACCUAAGGAGGAGAUGGGUUCAUCCUGCAGCACGGAUGUGGCAUGAAGGCUGCCUGAAUCCAGCAGGGCGGGCAGAGCUGCCACUGCUCGGAGCCUUCAUGGAGCUUUUUGCACGCUGCUUGUGCACGGGGGAGCGGAUGCUUUGUGGUCAGGGCAGGACACAGUGUGCUUCCUCCCGUUCUGGAGGAUCCAAGAGCAAAGCUUCCAGCUUUCCCUUGGGGAAACACCUCCACUCUGACCACUGCAGGAUAGAGAGGUCUGGUUGUAAUUCCUGCCUGAACAAAGGCUGCCUUGAACAGCAGCGUCCCAACCCCACCGCAGCACAACACCUGGUGCUCCCUUCCCAAAGCCCCCACACUCUCUGCAAGGCUUUUGGUGACCGCUGACUCCAGGAUGGCUUUAGAAUUGCUGGCUGGUUCCUGGCACCACAACAAGCAGCUCCUUUUGCUCUGCUCUCUGCCCAUCCCCAGCUCAGCUGGGAGGCAUCGCAUCACCCCGGUCUCCUCAUCCAGCCAGGAGCCUCACAUCCAGCAACACAACCUCACCUAGGAGACAUUCUCUCCUUGGGUUUAACGAUGGAAACCAUCUGCUGUUGCGUUGCUCAGAGCUUCACGCAGACUUCUUGCCUUCUCUCUGGGCACCAACUUUAAAGCUCCACCUUGCCUCCCCAGCAGCCCAGAAAUAACUCAGAAGACACAAAUCCAUCUGGUAGCCCCAGUUGGUCUCCAUUUCCCCAUCACAGAGGGGGCAGAGCCAUGUGCCUGUCUCCGAGCUGCCGGUCCCUCUCCGGCUCUUCCUGCUCUGCUGCAGCGUUGUGCUGUAAAACCUUCAUUUCCUGACACGCAUGGGAUGAGGCCAAGGGGUCGUGUUUUGGACAACCUGCCUUUUCCAUGGCAACUGGCAAUGAUGUCAGCGACGUGCAAUGAUCGGAAGGGGCCGGGGGAACGGUGAGCUCUCCAGGAACCAGGCAGGAGGGGCUGCUGUGGUGGUGUCCUGGGCUGGAGGAGCCCUGAAGGCAUCUGCCCUCCUCCCAGUCCCAUCCCUCCAUCCACCAUGCUGCUCCAUUCACUGCCAUUGCACAACGCAGAGCAUCCAAUGCUCUCCCCUACAUGGGUGUCUGCAGGACGUGUCUGUCCCGUGGCUGUGGGGUUCUGAGCUCUCCCAUUCCCUCUGUUCCUCCCCAUCACAAACCCCCUCCCUCGAAGGGGGCCCUUUUACAACAGCAAAGUAAUUAAAAGCUCCAGCAGAUGAGGACACCGAUGGCCAGCAUCAGAUUGAAUGCUCCCACACAGCCAUGUCUGUCUGUCCACCUGUCCAGGCUUGCUGUGGCCGGAGGCAUCUGCCGCCACAGCUCUGAGCACACUGCUACAGCAAAGUCCUGUCUGGGUCAGCUCUGAAAUACCAACAAACACACAGAUCAAAACCACCCUCCUAUGCACAGAGUUGCCAAGGGAUCCCCAUCCCAGCUGCCUUUGGUACAACUGGAAGUCCUAUGGACCUCUUUUCCACCUCAAAAGAACCUCUCCAGGUGGGAAGCAUCAUCAGCUCUGUCCCCAUUCAUUAUGCUAUACGGACUGACCUGGGCGUGCUGCUGCAGCCAGAAGGGAGCAAAGCCAGAAGAGCAUUGCAGAGAUGAGAAGCAAGAUUCUGGGAAGCACAAGCCAUGCACCCACAGCAGAGUUCUCACACAAAUUUAUUGGGUAAUCAGUAAUAAUCACCAGCAUUCCCACAGAGCACUUAUCUGCCUAAAAGUCCCAGCAAGGAAAGGAGCAAACAGGGCAGGCUUGGUCCAGCUCCCUGCUUUAACUCUGCCCAUGACAGCAAGUUGUCCAGGUGACCUGGUACAAAUGUACCCUCCUCAACAGCAAAUUGCAUCCGGAACAACCCAUAGGCAUCAGCAGAACAGCAGGGAGAGGCAAAUGGGGUGAUCGUAGGCAUGGAUCUGCACCAAGCGGGUCCAUGAAAGCAGAGGGAUGCGCUUGUGCUGUUGGUGGUAGCACAGAACUGAUGACAAACACCAUCCAAACAGUGGCAAACCUCACCCAAACAGUGGGAAACACCACCACAGUGGUGACAAACACCAUCACAGUGUGACAAACACCAUCAAAGCAGUGAUGCUGCCUUGCCUCCGUAUUGGACCUCAUUGGGAGACUUCAGCCAAAUGUGGGGAAAUGGCCCCACCGGAGCCUAUGGGAACCCAACAGCAUUGGGGUGGGGAAAGAGAAAACAAAACAACCCCACGAGAGGACUUCCAAAAACGCUGCACGAAAAGUGAACACUCAGCAGAGCGAGGUUUCCUGCGCAGUGAGAGUUGGCCGCCGAGUGAACAGGAAAUCACUGCUUCCUGCAUGCAGAGGAAGUGCCUAUCUAAUGCCUGUGAUCAAAAACAAACAUCGCUUCCAUUAAACAAACAAAGGGCCUAAAAACUUCAACAGCUCGCAGCCCAGGUCAGCUCCAGCAGCAGGGGGAUAGCGGCCAAAAAUAAGAAGCUGGUCACCUUGAGAAGGGCCCUCGUCCUCUUCCCUGCGUGGCAAUGUGGUUGCACUGCGUGCAGGAGGCAGUGGGGGGUCGGUGAGCCCCAUCUGUGUCCCCAGCUCUGCUCUCACCCCACAGCAUGGAGGGGAUGGGGGUGGGCACCAACAGUGACCGCAGUGCUUGGGUUUGGUAAAGUGUUGCUCGGAUGCCCUCUCGACCUUCUCCAGGUGAACAGUGCUGGGGCUCUCAGCAUUUGCCCAUCAGGACAUCCAUCAGCUCUGCACCCUCCAUAAGGAUCUCUCCAGCAGUUCCCAGUCUGCCUGGAACUGGGGAACACAGCACUGGGCCCAGUGCUCCAGUCAGCCUUUGGUCAACCCUUGGUCAACUGUUGGCCAACAGGGUUACUAUCGGCCUUCUGGCCAUAGGGGCACACUGCUGGCUCAUGGUCAGCCUUUGGUCAGCCAGCUGCCCGUGCUCGGUCUCUGUGCCUUCUCUUGGAUUUGUUUUGAGAUUUCAUUUCAUCUCUAGAAAUUCCAAACAGCUCUAGAAUUCCCUUCCAAACCGCUGCAGAGAUUCUCUUUGUUCGAAUGCAGAAUCCCUUAUCUUCAGUAUAAUGAAUUCAGGCUAUGGGGAUAGGAAUACUUUCUUACUCCAGAGAAGGACUUACAGACCCCGGGCUAUAAAUCACCCCCGUGAGCAACACAGUCGUGAGGCUCUGCUCAUCUCAGGGCUGGAGGACGCUGCAGGCUGCGCAGCGCCCAGGGACCUCGUGCUGUUAUUCCAGCUUGCUGCAAGCCUUUUGUUUUUGGACAAAUCCCAGCUGGGAGAUUGAUGUGAGGAGGCAGAGCAGGAUCCAGGUGCUGCCCGGCCAUGCUGGGGAAUGGAUCUGUGCAGAGUCCAUCCCCUGAGUUAUGGGCUCUGGGUGUCACCGAAUGCUGCACGCGUGCUGUUUCCCAGACUUAAAGCACAGCCAUGGAGAGGUGGAGGAGGUGGUUUUGCUUCAAGCCCAAAACAAAGAGUGGGGGUUUUUCCAGCCCUGGCUGAGCCCGAAGCUCCGGCAUCGCUCAUUCUGCACACGUCUGAUGCUCCAAACCGUCCUGGCUGGAAAAACCCUGCACUCCCAGCACGAAGCUGAGCACACUAAAAAGAAACAAAGAGGCCGGGGCUGACGCAGGACGGCGUGUUUGAAAGGCAGCUCUCCUCCGCAUUGCUCACAGCAAGACGAGAUGAGAAAUGUGCUUCAGGAACAAAGGAGGGCAAGCAGCAAACAGGGCUGACCCGUGGGGACAGGGAAAGGACAUGGAGACAGGGAAAGGACACGGGGGCAGCACCAUGCACGCCAUCUCCUUGCACCCCCCACCCCUCUGCACCCCCCACCACCUCGCUCGGCCCUCUCCUUGCUGUGGGUUUGCACCAGCACUGCAAAGCCCAUGAUGGCUUUUGCAGACCCGCAUGCAUCCGCCAGGCCCAGCACAGGGCAGGACGCAGCAGCUUUCUCCUCUGUGCAUUUUGCACUCGGGAGAUGCCAACGCGGAGAGCAGCAGAUCCAACCGCAGGCUGAUGGAAAAAAAAUGAUUCCAGCAUCACCCAAAGCCCCGCAACGGACAGCAAAUACGAAGGGUAAGGGAACGUGCACCGGGGCCUUCCUGUGUGGCCACCACACAAAAUCUAUUACUGAGCAGUUUGGCCAGUGAUAUUAAAACCAUCAGGUGCAGCCAGCACGGAUCUGCUGAGUGCUCACAGCACUGAGGCUUUUGGCCUGGUGCACCUGGUUUGUUAAAGAAAUAAUUACAGUUCCCCCAUUUCCUGCUCUGGAAAGAAAACUUCCUAACUAAUCAUAGCCAGUUCAUAUGCAUUUAAAGUGCAUUCAUUCUCCUAUGCAACCACAUAACACGAGGCCGUGUCCGUGCAGGAGGAUCUGCCCAUGGAUGCUCCUUUAAACGCCAUCUGCUCCUUCCUGAUGCAGCGCUGCAGCCCUAUGCUGGCGGAUCGAAGGGCUGCUGAGGCCGUUCCAUCCCUGGCUGGAAAAUCCAUGCAACAUCCCUGGAAAGUUGCUGGCUGCUGUGGAAGUGGCGGCCAAUUUCCUCAUUGUGAAGGUGCCAAGAACAGAGAUGAACUCCCGGAGGCUGCGACGGAGGGGGCUGUGGGCACUGAGCUGGGAAAGAUGGCAGAAGGAGCAGUGAGGCUCUCAGCUCCUCCCAGAAAUCAACGAGACUCAGUGAUGCCUCACAUCCAAGGGCUUCGUCUCCAUUUAUACGAGCACUCAGCUCCUGCUGGGAGCACAGCUGUCCCGGGCAGCACGGUGCUCAGGGGGUGUCCUCCUGCUGCAGGCUCUGGUCGGUAUCACAGCUGAUGCUGCUUCAUUCCAUCUCCACCUUUACUUCUGAGUUGUGAAGCCCAAUGUUAUCCCUCAAUGGGGUUCAGCUGAGUGUGGCAGUUUUCUGUUAGCUGAAGGACUCGGAUCCUCCCUGGAGCGGAGCAGCCCUUCCACGACCACCCAACCCAUCACCCAUCCCCAAACCCCUCCACCUACAGCUCCCAUCCCAUAUCCAGGCACCCCAUAGCAUUGCCCAGAGCUGCUGCAUUGAGCAGAACUCCCUAUGAGCAAAUGCCACAAACACAGACGGGAUGGGGGGAAAACAUGCAGGGUUGCAUUGGACCAAGAAAUGUGAUUUUAAGGAGUCCAAAAAGCUCAGCACGCAUUGAGGCUGCUCUGACUCAGCGCUCUGAUUGACUUUUGCACAACAGGUUCUGCUCUUUCAUACCUUGUGUGAUAAUUCCCCAGCCGUAACACCCAGAAUCACACCUCAUACCAGGAGGUUUCUCCUUUCAGAGCCUCCCACUGCAUGCUCAGGGCACAAAGCCCAUCUCCUCAGCCUCACAUCUGCACCUGAUGGCACAGGCAUUCCUUUCUUCUGUUUUUUACCCCCAAAGAAUUCAGCUCCCAUGAGAUUAAAGCACACUGAAGGCUCAGCACUGCCCGGGUACCCCGUUGCAUGGUACCCCAUUGCAUGGGAGAAGUGGGGCACAUCGCCCUGCCUCCCCACACCGGUGGCCAAAGCCUGUCCAGAGCUGCUUUCCUACAGCAGAUACAACCACUCAGCACCUGACCCAAUUUCCUGCUCUCAGCUGCAAUCUUCCAGUGUUUUUUAACACGAAAUCCCAUUGUUUGCACGUGCCCAGGUUUACCCUGUUAACCCAUAUCCCCCUCCGUCAGUCUCUUUUGUCUGUUUUCCAUCAGCUGCUCCCAAAGCCCACACCAGGAGGAUUCCACUCAUCCAGAUUAGAAGCACAAUCCAAUAUCCCUCGUGGUUGGGCUGAGUGGUUGCCAGAAGAGCCUCUUCCUCUUCCUCCUCCUCUUCCUCCUCCUCUUCCUCCUCCAGCCACCACCAGGUUUGUCCCCUUCACCUGGCCGGAUUCCUGCUGGCGUGGGAUCCACCCUUACUGUGGUUCUCCCCCACCUCCCGUCUGUGUUCCAGAGCAGGAAGCAGCAACGUGGGAAGCUCACCUGUAAUAAAGCUUUGAGGCUUUCUUAUCUCAUUUUGGCACAGAGGAUUACAACAGGCUUUGGGGGCUGCUCUUUUCCAUGCCCGGUCCCAAAGGCCUCAGACACCCCGUGGCAUUUCCCGAACUCAGAUACUGUUUCCUACGAAUCAGAUUUCAGCACAGACAGCAGAUCCUGGAGACAGAUGGAGACGAGGAGGAAAAUCCCCACACGAGAGCUCAGACAUCGACUGCAGCGUCUGGCUGAUUGGGCUGCGUGCUCUGCUCGGCCCUUUGCAGGGUCUGCAACACCUGUGGCACUGCUGCCCUCUGCCCCUCUGUACCACACGGCUGCACAGCCCACGUGCAUCACCUGUCCUUAUUCUGCACGCUGCAUUUCUCCCCACUCCCCAAAGUAAGGUGAGGGUAAGGAAUGCGCUGCGAGCCACUCAGAGAGCAGAGGAGCAGACACGAGCAGGACAGGGGCUGCUCUGAUCUCAGCAUCCUUUGGAGUUACAGCCCCUUCUCCUUUGUUCCCAUUGACACCUGAGAGCAAAACAGCAGCAGAGGCAAAGAGAGGACUGCCAGGUGAGUGAGCGCACAAAGUGCACACCAGAACCCAGAGAGAGCAAAGCACCUUAAGGGAGAUUGCUGUGAGACCAGAGCAAUAGCUGACUGCCAGGGGGAGGGGAAGGGGGAAAGCAGCAGGAAUGGGGAACAGAGCCCUUUUGGUGCCCAUCAAACACAGCACGUGUCCCGGGCAGCCCAGGCUGGGGGAGCUGCUCUGGAGGAGCUGACAGGACUGCACUGUGCUUCCUCGCAGCGUGCGAUCCCUUGAGUGGUCUUAAGGUUGAUCUGGAUUAGGCCUGAGUGUCUGCCGUGGUGAAUUGGUUGGGUUUUCCUGGGAGGUGAGACUGGGGCCUGUAUUGCAAGCAAGUCAGCAGCCCUGAGCUCCCUUAGCUAACCAAACCUGCAUCCCUCGGUUUUGCCUCCUGUUUUCUGUGCAGGAAACAGCGCUGCAGCCCCAGCCUGCACUGCUCCCCACGGCCCCACGUCACCAAUCCAUGCACAGCAGAGCUCCCUGCUGCUCCAGCCCAUCUCUUGCUUUGCUGCUUAAAACAGGAAAAGGCAGCAAGCAGAGCAACGCGGGCAGCAGAGGAGGGGUGCAGCCCCCCACACUGUGCAGCCCCCAGCUCCAAAACCACACCUGGCACCGCAGGACGGCCCUCCCGCAGUGCAGCUCAUGGGAACACGGUUGCAUCACGUUUGUUUUGCUUUGCUUUGCUUUGGAGAGGAGGAUUCCUCCCACCGUGUUGAGCAGCCCGUGUCACACGGCUGGCCCAGGUGACAUAGGUGACAAUGCCACCCACAGAUGGGACAGCACAGUGGGGGCAUGGGGAGAGCACGAUGGGGACAGCGCAAUGGGACGGCGCAAUGGGGACAUGGGGAUGGCACAGUGGGGAUGGUACAAUGGGGAUGGCACAAUGGGGACGGCGCAAUGGGGCCAUGGGGAUGGUACGAUGGGGACGGCGCAAUGGGGACGGCACGAUGGGGAUAUUGGGAUGGCACAGUGGGGAUGGCACGAUGGACUUGGUACAAUGGGGACAUGGGGACAGUGCAAUGGGGGUGGCACGACGGGGAUACUGGGAUGGUACAAUGGGGACAUGGGGACAGUGCAAUGGGGAUGGCACGAUGGGGAUACUGGGAUGGCACAAUGGGGACAUGGGGACGGCACAAUGGGGACAGCAUUGGCACCAGCUUGGGUUGGGUUGGAGCAGCUGGGGCACAUUGCAGCGUCACGCGCGUGGGACCCCCGGUACUCACCGUGGCUUUGUCCUUGCAUCCAGAGGAGUUAAAGCCCUUGGAGAUGCGGCCGCAUUGUCCGAGAUGUGCUCGGGGGGAGGCAGCUGCUUUCUUUAUAUCUCAAGAUUCACUGAAGUUCAGGAAGAGAGAAAGAGAAAAGAGAGGGGAAGGCGAAAGGGGAGGGACUGAGCAAAGGGCCCAGAGGCCGUAUAGAAUGACAAUGGAAGGAAAUGCUUUAUCAAACCUAGAAAGCCAACCCUGUCCUGGGAACACAGAGGGAGAAAAAAAACUCGCCGAAGAAAAGCGAGUUCAGCUGCCUCGGUUCCUCCCUUGGCAGCAGCCCUCCUCCCCCAUCCCCUCGCUGCAAACACAAUGCGAGCCCAAAGCGGCCGGCUCCAACACUUUUUUUUUUCAUUAAACAGAGAGAAGUUUCAGUUCUUUACAAAAAAAAAAAAAAAGAAAGAAAAAGAAAAAGAAAAACCCAACAACCAAACCCUGCCCGGGAAUGGGAAUGUGACGCUCUUCCCCCUCCCCCGGCUGCAGCCUUCCAAGUUUCUAUGAGUCAAACGUUUGCAAUGUGUUACCGAAAUGUUACCAAGCUGGAAUGCGGCAUCCGAGAGGGUUUCGCUAAUAAAACUUCUGUUUGUUGGCUGGGAGAAAAGUGACACCGGCACAGAACGCCGCUCUUCUGCCUUUUGCUUUGCCCAUCCGGGUGCUGAGAGAGAGGAACCCGACGAGAGGGCAUCGAUGUCCCAAUGGGAAAUGGCGCUGCCAGGGGAGAUGCUGAGGGAAGUGGUAAAUGCGAUGCUGCAGGUGGGGAAUGGAGGUGAAACGUCGGGGCUGGUCCUGCAGCACGGUGAGGAUGGGCCCAGAGCUGAGAGCCCGAAGCCCUUCAGGCAGGUUUUGGAUCAGGAAUUGGGUCAGAUUUUGGAUCCUCGCCCCGCAGCUCCUGGGAUCAUUGCCGCUUCAUGGGAUGGCUGGGUUGGAAGGGACCUCCGUCCCAAAAUGGGGAUUCCAAUGAAGACAACUGAGCUCAAUUCUCUACAGAGUUCUAGGAAACCCAGUGCUUCCCAGUGUCACAAAACACACAGCAGGUGGGAAUUAGGUGAUCUCUGAGGUCCCUUCCAACCCAACCAUCCUAUGGUUCUUUGAUGACGAGAUGGGUUUUGGUUUUUGGGUUGGAGAACCACCACUGACCUGUCCUGGCUAUUUCCAGCCCGUGCGUGCUUUCUCCUUUGAUGCCAUUGGAACAACAAUGGUGGAAAAGAGGGAGUACGAUGGACCUCCUCCCACCUCCAAAAACCAACUCCUGGUUAAGCAGGUCGUUGUGAGACCAGGAACAGCCCAGGUCUACAGAGGCAGAAGUUCAGUUUGGCUGUUCCAUGGGAAAAUGCCCAUUUAUCCUCAAAAUGGAAGCAGCAACAUUCACAUUCAACAGAACGAAAGGGAACUUGGGGGGAUCCAUCAGACUUCUGUGGGUUUCUCCCCAAAUACAGAGGUGUUCCAGGCAGCUCCGUCCUGAAGGAGCCCUGCAGUGUCCCCAUAUGGGGUCACUCCUGCUCUGCUCGGAGCCAAUCCUGAGUUGCAAACUUUUCCCCCGUUGGAUCCUGGCUUUGUGUGCACGUUGAGGUGCGUGGAGUCCUUUCACACAGCAAAGUGCCAAAAGCAGAGCUGUCCAAACCCAGAGAUAAGGGACGGGGCCUUGCUUUAACAAAGAGGCAUUUCCAUAUCUGAGGAAGUGAGGCAAUUCUGCCUCGUUAAGAAGGCUGACAAAAGUCUCCUAGGAGGAAGAAAGACAGCAAAAGAUUAAAAUCUGUGCAUUUCAGAGGAGGGCAGCCAGGAACGCUCACGUCCCAUCAGCUGCAGGCAGACAGAGGCCGCGUGGCACCUUCCAGUGCUGGGAGUGCUGGGGGUGGUGGAGCUCAGGGGGUGCCUGGAGG